CUUGGCGUUCAGUUGUCACGGUUGUUGGGCAGUAAGUGAGGCAAGAUGCUGUGUAAUCUGCUGGGUUUUCAUCAGAUUGCCCAAAGGACCAUCAGCACUGCUUCACGCAGACAUUUUGAAAAUAAAGUUMCAGAGAAACAAAAGCUGUUUCAGGAGGAUAAUGGAAUUCCAGUGCAUCUAAAGGGUGGAGUAGCUGAUGCCUUGCUGUAUAGAGCCACCAUGGUUCUUACAGUUGGUGGAACAGCUUAUGCCAUAUAUCAGUUGGCCAUGGCUUCAUUUCCCAAGAAGCAGGAUUGACUUCAGUCUUCUCAGCAAUCGUUUGGUUCAGUUUAAUUCAGCUCUCUAUGGACCAGUACUCUG